GUGGGGUUGGGAAUGAAUUGGUUGACGACGCCACCGAUGACGGCAAAGGUGCGCUUGCCCUCGGUGAGCAUCUGCACACCGCGACGCUUGAAUUCCUU
rnacentral:sRNA from 1 species